CGAAGAUCGAUCUUGUCACCCUAUCUAAACGUCUAAACCUAUCUCCUGUCAUUUAGCUUGUUUACAUUCCGCAUGCCAUAAUAAGGGACACGCGGUUUGUCGGCACGGUUACUCGUAACAUUCUCCCCCCCGUUACGCGCCGCACUUGAUUGUCAGCAGCUCGAUACACCUUUACAAUUCGUCCCCUAGGCCAGCAGUUCCGCGGGUUGUUUCCAUCCGCAACCAAUACCAAGUCGCCUUCAUCUAAUGGUUUCGUCUGCUUGUACCAUCUCGAUCGCUUCGUUAGUGUUGGAUUUACGCACGGACGGAGUGGAAUCGUCAAAGGGUAGCGGAGGCUUGCUUCCGUUCGAACUGCCUAAAAUGAAAUGAUUUGGCGUUAAGGGAGAUUCAGCUUCAUCUUCGAGUGGAAUUUCUGUCAGGGGUCGUGAGUUAACAAUCAGCUCCACUUCACUCAACCUAGCCCGUAAUAGCUCAUCGGUGGGGUGAUGAG